AGAGCUGCCGCCAUUUUGCGGGAAGAGGAGCUGCUCUACCUGCAGUGCUGCUUUUCUUGCCUAGACUCUAGGAAAUAUCCGAGCUCCACUCCCCACAACAUACUCAAAGGAACGGAGAGAACUGGGACCCCCCUGCGGGGACCCGGAACUGAUCUGACAGGAUGGCAUCUGAUGACUUUGAUAUAGUGAUUGAGGCCAUGCUGGAAGCUCCCUAUAAAAAAGAAGAGGAAGAAGAGGAGUCGGACCCAUAGUAAAAGCAGGGAUAGAAAGCACAGUCGUAGUCGAGAUCGGGAUCGGUAUAGACGGAGAAAUAGUCGGAGCCGAAGUCGAGGUCGGCAGCGUCGUCACCGUAGCCGUAGCUGGGAUCGUCGACAUAGUAGUGAGUCGCGAAGUCGAGACCGUCGUCGUGAGGAUUGUGUGCGUUACAGGAGUCCUCCACUUGCCUCUGGUUAUAGGUAUGGACACAGUAAGAGUCCUCAUUUCAAAGAGAAGAGCCCAGUCAGGGAGCCAGUUGAUAAUCUGAGUCCUGAGGAGCGUGAUGCCCGCACAGUUUUCUGUAUG
rnacentral:sRNA from 1 species